UCCUUUCCUCAGGAGUCCUCCCUUCUUCCCUCAGGCUUAGCUACUAGGGAAUGUGGCCUCAAGGUUUGUAAAGUGACUUCACAGUGAGGGAACUGCUCUAGCCUGCUGACAUCUUUAGAGGGCAAUGUACACUUGCUUGGAGCUAAUUCUGAGAUGCUUCAGAUGAACACAAUGGAUUAGUGGAUGGAUCUAUAGAAGCAGAUUAUAGACAGAGGCUGAAGAGGACUUCUGCUGGUGCUCACCAUUCAGCUCAGCUGACCACAGGAUGAGAGACUUCAGGAACAUGGUACACAGAAGACUCUAGGCAGUGGCUUAUUAAAUGAUUUCCCUUUGGAGCAGAGAAAGCACAGGACUGUUUUGGGUGGAGCUGUCAUUCUCAGGAACAUGGUGGCUACCCACUUGCUUCAUCUCCAGAGGACUAAGACAUUACAGAAGUGAUGUUACUGGCAUUUGUAUAACUGAAGCUGCCAACAGGGAUCACAGAUAA
rnacentral:lncRNA from 1 species